rnacentral:rRNA from 1 species
AUACGGAGGGUUCAAGCGUUAUCCGGAAUCAUUGGGUUUAAAGGGUCGGCAGGCGGUCAAUUAAGUCAGAGGUGAAAGCCCAUCGCUCAACGAUGGAACUGCCUUUGAUACUGGUUGACUUGAGUUAUACGGAAGUAGAUAGAAUAAGUAGUGUAGCGGUGAAAUGCAUAGAUAUUACCUAGAAUACCGAUUGCGAAGGCGGUCUACUACGUAUAUACUGACGCUGAGGGACGAAAGCGUGGGGAGCGAACAGGAUUAGAAACCCUAGUAGUCC